rnacentral:rRNA from 1 species
GACGAACGCUGGCGGCGUGCUUAACACAUGCAAGUCGAACGGAAAGGCCCUUGGGGGUACUCGAGUGGCGAACGGGUGAGGAACACGUGGGUGAUCUGCCCUGCACUUUGGGAUAAGCCUGGGAAACUGGGUCUAAUACCGAAUAGGACCACGCGCUUCAUGGUGUGUGGUGGAAAGCUUUUGCGGUGUGGGAUGGGCCCGCGGCCUAUCAGCUUGUUGGUGGGGUAAUGGCCUACCAAGGCGACGACGGGUAGCCGGCCUGAGAGGGUGACCGGCCACACUAUUACUGAGAUACGUCCCAGACUCCUACGGGAGGCAGCAGUGGGGAAUAUUGCACAAUGGGCGCAAGCCUGAUGCAGCGACUCCACGUGAGGGAUGACGGCCUUCGGGUUGUAAACCUCUUUCAAUAGGGACGAAGCGCAAGUGACGGUACCUAUAGAAGAAGCACCGGCCAACUACGUG